rnacentral:lncRNA from 1 species
AAAAAAAAUAUUAAUAAUUCAUAUGCACAGAAAGGAAUAAAAUGUAUUAAACAGUUAUCCUCAAAUAAUAAUAAAAAAGUAGUUUGUGAUGCUGUUAAAGAUCAUGGUGUGGAUAAUAACAACAUUAAUGACAUGAAUCAUAAUGUUAAUGCUUCAGCUUAUGAAAUAAAAGAUAAAAAUAAGGAGGUGGAAGGCGAAGAGUAUACAGAAGAAGCAUAUAAUAAAAAAGAAAAAGAAUCAGGGGAUAUUAUGAAGGUAGACAAUUUUGAAGAAUUAGAUAAUGAUCUUUUAGAAAAACAAAUAAAAGAAAUGGAGGAAACCGAUAGAGGAGAAGCAUCUUUUUUAGAUGAACAAGAGUUUAACAGAAUAGAAGAAAAUCGAAAACAAAAUAAAAAAAAAAAUUAUGUUGAUACUAUUACAAAGUUAAAUAAGGCAAUGUUAUUAAGUAAUAAACCUGUUAUAAAUAAUAGUCAUAACAACGAAAAGGAUAUUACAGAAGAUAAUAAUACAAAUGUGUUAUAUGAAGAAAAAAAAAGAAAAGUAUUACUAAUACGUAUUUUAAAAAAUAUAAAAGAUGUGUUACAUAAGCAAAAAGUAAACUUUAAUAAUUUUGUUACUUAUUUGAGUGAAAAUUAUACAAUAUAUGAAAAAUUUACAUUGCCAAAACAAAUAAAUAUGAUGAAUGUUAAUAAAAACAAAAUAGAUAAGGAAAAAAAUCUAAAUCAUGAAGCAAUGUCAUCGUUUUUAAAUCUCACAGAACCAAAUGUUUUGAAAAAAAAUAUGACUACUAAUGGAAGUAAGUUAAAAAAAGACACUCUGAAUAAAGCAGGUAUGGACAUUAUGUUAAUGAUGCCAGGUGAAUAUGAGGAACCCGAUGAUGAUAACAAAAAAGACGAGGUGAAUGGUGAUAAUAAAGAUGAGAACAAUGACAACAAGAAAGACGGUAUAGAUAUAAUCAUUGGUGACAAUGAGACAGACGAGGAAAACGGUGAACCUAAAGAAAAACCAAUUGAUGAAAACAAUGUAACAUCGGAAGACUGGGAAAAAAUGAAUAAAAUUUUAAGCGAACUAAUUGAAUCUGAUAAUAUAACGGAAAAUCAAAAAAAAUAUUUAAAAAUAAUAAAAAAAAUUUUAGAUUUAGAAAGUGAAUUGUUAAACAAAGAAAUGUUACAACAUGAAUUGAGCAAAAAUAUAAUUGAUGUAUUAUUAAAUAAAUCGAAUGAAUUAAGAAGUAUAGCUGUACGUUUAAUAAAUGAAAACAAAGAAGGCGGAGGAACACAAAGAGUAGAUUUAGCUCAAAAUAUUGUGUCUAACUUAUUAAACUUUUCAAUUGAAUUAAAAAAUACAGGAAAUAUUGUUUAUAACAAUAUACAAGGACAAGGAGAUUUACUUCAAGCUAUUGAAAAUAAACUUAGUGAUGCAAAAAGCUCAUUGAGAGAUAUAAGUGUUCAUACUAUUUAUAAGAAUAGGAAUAAAACGGAUAUGGAUGGCGGCGAUAGUAAUGAUAACAAUAGUGAUGAUAACAAUAGUGAUGAUAAUAAUAAUGAUAAUAAUAAUGAUAAUAAUAAUGAUAAUAAUAAUGAUAAUAAUAAUGAUAAUAACAACAUCAUUGAUAAGGAAGUAUUGAUGCAAAGUUGCAGAUUUAAUGCUAAAAAUAAUAUACAAUCGCCGACCACUUGUAAAAAAAAUUCAUCAGUUUUAAAUGAAUAUAACAUUACAAAAUAUAAAUCAAACUUUAAAAUUUCUAAAUCAAUGAAAGAUCACUUUUUUGAUAUUUUUGCUAAAGAAGAAAGGGC